UAUGACUUAGGGGGUUUAGACAAUAAUGUGUUUCAAUGCAUCAUCACAGUGCAAUGACUUUGAAGAAGAUCCUCCUGAUAGAUGGGCUACAUUCAUAAAAGUGUGUCAUGAUCCUUUCCUCCACUGGCCAAACCACAUCUGGAGUAAGACAUUGUAUUCCAGGCCCCAUGUCUUAUAUAUGCGAUGGGUAAACCCAGAAUGCAUUCAGGAGAUGGUGAUCGGGAAGGAGAAGUCCCUCAAAGUUGUGAGAUGUGGCUAGUAAGAUCCCAUUUAUGCUAUCAUCUGCCUUCUCACCCAAACUGGAACCCUGGUACUAAUUCUAGACUCUUUCACUUCUUUCAAUCCCUCCUGGAUCCCAGCACUGCUCUUCUUCUCCUGUGUCCCCAGCUGAGUUCUGAUGCCCACCAGGUCACCCCACACUCUACAGCAGCCCCCUUCCUCCAGGCCUGCUCACCUCCACCUGUCCUCUACAUGUCUCCUAGGGGCCAGAACAGUGCCUUCCAUACCAUGGGCACUUAAUAAAUUUGGGAAUGAAUGAAUGAUUAAACAGUGGCUGGAUAUAGGAGUGUUGAGCCCUAUACAGAAAAUGGACCCAGCUCACCAUCUGUCAUUCGCCUGGUAUCUGAACUGUAAAGCCAAGUUAGAAGAGUAGAAGAUGGUAAUAGAUAUUCUUGAGCUAUGAUUCGGAAUCAAAUCCUCAACCCCCGUCCUCAACCAGACAUCACCUCCCUGCCAGGUUCUUGAGAGAGAGAAAUACAAGAAAGACAAUUCCAGACAGGCGGGCACGUGACCAGACGCUCCAAAGCAGAGGCUUGCUGAGCCAAUACAGACGAGCUGUCAUUCACUGGCUUACUCGUCGUCAUCCCCUCAAAAGAUUCCUGUCGGCGCCUACAA